CAGUCUGAUCCCAUGAUGUGACAGAUACCUACAAUACCUGGUUAUAUGAGAUCAUAGGGCUACAGUUGGGGACUUUGCAGGCUUUCAUUGGUGGAGAGGAGAAAUCAUAGGACAGGGCUGACAGUCUCCAAUUAGAGCAGCCAGCGUUCUAAUCAAGUCCUCGCAGCUACCAGAUUCAUAGAAACAACAGGAAGCUUGGUUUGUCAACCCUAGACAUUCCCCUUCCAUUACAUCACCAGACCUGGGCCAAGUCUGGACAGCGAGGGCCCAGCUGACUCAGUAACUUUUAACUCGAGCGAGUAAGACUCAGAGGGGCACCUGUUCCACUGACUCAAGGCACCAUCAAUCAAACCUGAACAGGACCAUGGACCUAUUAACACCUGUCAAAAGGACCUUACCUACAAACAAGCAGAGAUAAACUUGUGUCAGAAGAAAGAACUCCCAAACAAGCAAUUCUGAGGAGAAUAAAAUGGAUCGUGUGAUGGCAUGCAGUUUCUGUCGAGCCUUGUUUACAAAGAUUCUAAUUCUGCAUUUUAAAUAGUUUCCUAACAUGCAAAAUGACUGAAUAGAAAUAAAGGCUUAUUCCGUCAGCUGUGAAACAAGGAGGCUUUAAAGUUGUCUUUGCGUAAAUCGCCCCACUGACUGCAUUAUCUUUGAAUUCAUUUUUUUUCUUUUCUGAAAAUCCUUAUACACCCAUAAUUCACAAUUACAACUUUACUUGGCCUACUUAGAAAAGCCGUUGGCCUGAUGCAUGGAAAAUUCAUUCCUCAUUUCCCCCCUUCUUUUUCACAGAAAAAGACAGCAGCUGUAUAUAGUGUUAAAUAACAGUGACCUUCAGACAAUGAAGAUGCCGCUUGUCUGUGACAUCAUUGAAAAUUAAAAUCUUUUUUAACUCAUUUUCCUUUCAGACUUUUGUAGAAAGCUAUGCACUUCAAAUGGAUUUAAAGAAUUAGAAACACUGAUAGAUUGCUUGAAUUUUGUGAACAUAUUAUGAUGUCUUUUUGCAGAUGUUUGGUUCAUGAUUAAAAAACAAUUAAAUCUGCAUACUGAUAUGAAUCAAAAUACAAAUUCAAAGACAAAUGCACUAACAUUGUGUGCACUGGC